rfam:Lachnospiraceae bacterium A4 genomic scaffold acPFC-supercont1.6, whole genome shotgun sequence.
UGAUAGCGAUGAAACGUGAGGUUGCUGCAUAUGGAGAAACAUAUGGCAGGUUUUCCGCGGAGCGAAUGUCAAGUUAGGAAACUGGCGACAA